rnacentral:rRNA from 1 species
AAACUGGGAAUAAUUCCGGAUAACGCACAUAUGCUGGAAUGCUUUGUGCGUAAAAUGGAUUCGUUCUGCCCAAGGAUGGGUCUGCGGCCUAUCAGGUAGUAGUGGGUGUAAUGUACCUACUAGCCUACAACGGGUACGGGUUGUGAGAGCAAGAGCCCGAAGAUGGAUUCUGAGACAUGAAUCCAGGCCCUACGGGGCGCAGCAGGCGCGAAAACUUUACAAUGCGGGAAACCGUGAUAAGGGGACACCGAGUGCUAGCAUCAUAUGCUGGCUGUCCAGGUGUGUAAAAUACACCUGUUAGCAAGGGCCGGGCAAGACCGGUGCCAGCCGCCGCGGUAACACCGGCGGCCCGAGUGGUGAUCGUGAUUAUUGGGUCUAAAGGGUCCGUAGCCGGUUUGGUCAGUCCUCCGGGAAAUCUGAUAGCUCAACUAUUAGGCUUUCGGGGGAUACUGCCAGACUUGGAACCGGGAGAGGUAAGAGGUACUACAGGGGUAGGAGUGAAAUCUUGUAAUCCCUGUGGGACCACCUGUGGCGAAGGCGUCUUACCAGAACGGGUUCGACGGUGAGGGACGAAAGCUGGGGGCACGAACCGGAUUAGAUACCCGGGUAGUCCCAGCCGUAAACGAUGCUCGCUAGGUGUCAGGCAUGGCGCGACCGUGUCUGGUGCCGCAGGGAAGCCGUGAAGCGAGCCACCUGGGAAGUACGGCCGCAAGGCUGAA